UACACUCCUACGGGAGGCAGCAGUGGGGAAUUUUGGACAAUGGGCGAAAGCCUGAUCCAGCAAUGCCGCGUGAGUGAAGAAGGCCUUCGGGUUGUAAAGCUCUUUUGUCAGGGAAGAAACGGUGAAAGCUAAUAUCUUUUGCUAAUGACGGUACCUGAAGAAUAAGCACCGGCUAACUACGUGCCAGCAGCCGCGGUAAUACGUAGGGUGCAAGCGUUAAUCGGAAUUACUGGGCGUAAAGCGUGCGCAGGCGGUUUUGUAAGUCUGAUGUGAAAUCCCCGGGCUCAACCUGGGAAUUGCAUUGGAGACUGCAAGGCUAGAAUCUGGCAGAGGGGGGUAGAAUUCCACGUGUAGCAGUGAAAUGCGUAGAUAUGUGGAGGAACACCGAUGGCGAAGGCAGCCCCCUGGGUCAAGAUUGACGCUCAUGCACGAAAGCGUGGGGAGCAAACAGGAUUAGAAACCCGGGUAGUCCA
rnacentral:rRNA from 1 species